rnacentral:rRNA from 1 species
UACGUAGGCAGCGAGCGUUGUUCGGAGUUACUGGGCGUAAAGAGUGCGUAGGCGGUUUUCUAAGUUUGGUGUGAAAUCUCCCGGCUUAACUGGGAGGGUGCGCCGAAAACUGGAAGGCUUGAGUAUGGGAGAGGUAAGCGGAAUUCCUGGUGUAGCGGUGAAAUGCGUAGAUAUCGGAAGGAACAUCAGUGGCGAAAGCGGCUUCCUGGACCAGCACUGACACUGAGGCACGAAAGCGUGGGUAGCAAACAGG